rnacentral:lncRNA from 1 species
UCAGGCCACCAGUGAAAAGAAUGUAAGGUCACAUAGCCUGUACCAUUUCAGGGAGGCAUUGUCUAACCUGGAGCCAUGAGCCUUUUUGAAAUAAUAAUAUUGUCGACCCCCAGUUGUAUGUGCCCAAGGAGAUGGCAAACUUGAGAAACAAGAAUAAUCCUUUCAGCUGGUUUAAAGCUGAGCCCUCACUCUUGGAAUUAAGAAACUGACAAAGGAUGCAAGUUCUUGGUUUAAGGAGCCAAUGGUGUGGUUCCCAGGGACCCUCCCAAAUACACUUCCAAUCUGUUUCUGGAGGACCUGACCUGUAACUCCUGACAAUAUGUUCUGAAUGCUGAAGGAUGGAGAUACACUUUGGAGUAAGAUUCAUAUGAACUUUCAUAAAUUCUUGGGCCAAUGGACUCAAGCCCCUCAUUCAAAGAAAACACCAGAAGAGACUUGGUGUUUUGUGAAAUGGCACAUUCCAAAAUCUCUGUCACUGAGAAAAGGAUGUAAGCUCAGGAUCAAAGCAUCGUCUUCAAAGAAGGAGAAAGUGGAAAACCAUUGAGUACUCUGUUUAAGAACACCUUCAUGGAUUUGAUGGUAGUAAUUAAGUAGUCACUUAGUCUUUUCUUCGUUUAUGUUAAAGGCAGUCAAUCCUUUUCACCUUUCCUAGGGGAGCCUAUUUGCAGAUUCUUUGACAUAGGAAACAUUUUUGCUCAAGCUCCGGGCCUUACUUUUUUAAGCCAGAACAUGACUUGGGGCAGUUCUCAGACCCCGGGUUUCUCCGCCCUCCGGAGAGGUCGGCAAGGAAAUGGACUCAGGAGACAAGGGAGGAAUGUGUUUUGCUGUUUUGGAUUUCAAGAAAUGAAACAGAAACAAGAGCUGGUUUCUUGAUAACUUUGUUCUUCUACGCUAUGGUCUGUAGAAUGAUACAGUUUCUAGUUUAAUUGGUCUGUGACCUGCAGACCCCUGUGUAAGACUCUUCCAGCUUUGAACAUACCAAAGAAAAUUUUAAAAGAAGAGGGGAGAAAAAAGGAGAAAAGUCUGCAUAUUGGGUAAAGGAUGAUUUUGUAUGUGUGUGCUUUUCUAUAGUUGCUAGGAUUUCUGCAAUGAACAUGAGUUCACUUCGAAAUCAGGAAAAACACUAAUAAAUAUUGGAGUUAAUUCUAAGUAGUUAAAAGAAUAAAAUGAUAACCAAUUAUUUUUCAAGCCAAUGCAAAUUAAAAUAAAAGAAGAAUGGCAGUAAUAAUAAGACAAAGUAGAAUUCAUCAUAAAGCAACACUUGGAAUAAAAGAGCCAUUUGUGGGCAUUUUAUGUUGAUAAAAGGUACAAUGCAGGAUGAAGAUAUUAUAAUGAUCAAAGUCACACAAUAAAAGCACAAUAUUAAAUAUAAAAAACAAAAAUUUGACAGGAAUGAAAGGGGAAUUCAGCAGAAAAACAAUUGUUAUAAGAGACGUAAGCACCAGACUUUGACAAUUAGCAGAGGAAAAAAAAAGACACCUAAGUUUGAUACACCAUAAUUAUCAAAGUUGAUUAAUAGACAAAUAUUGAAUUUUGUUCCCUAGCAACAAAGAAUAUGCCUUUCUGAUGUAUUAUUUGAAAACCAGAGCAAAACAAAUACUAUAAAGGCCACAAAGAGAACUUUUGUCCAAAAUGCAACAAAACUAGACAAAAAUUACCAAAGUAAAUAAAAUUUUAAAAACUCAC